rnacentral:lncRNA from 7 species
GCUCUACCUACUUGUCACCCACAAAUCUAUCUUAACCAUAGGUCCCUAACUCUGGUGGCAACCCCAAGAAUGAAGAUACCAAGGUCUGAAAAAGAACAGCUCAACCUCGGCAAGGAAGAAGAUGAGUCAAGAUCCACAAAUCUUGCAUGGAGUCUUUUCUUACCCUACACUUUCUUACCUAAACCCAUCUAUGCUUUAAAGACAUCUUCUAUCCUACAUAAUUAUGUGGACAUACAUAUAUAUACCUCUGCUCUCCUAAUCACUUACUAAUGAAAAGAAAGAGAGACUCUUGAUUUUGAACUAAUUAGAAACUAAAAGCUAAAUUGCAAACCACUCUUCCUAUAUCCUCUUACUAAUCUCGAGGACGAGAUUUCUGUUAAGGGGGGUAGGAUUUGUAAACCCUGGAAUCUAGUUCUAAAACUCUAAUCAGUCAAAAAAAUGAGGAAUCUAUUGAAGAGACACAUUUCUUUUAAAUAAAUGUUUUCUUUUAUAAAAGGGUAUAUAAAAGGUUCCUUAUAUGGGUAAUAUAUAAACACUUCCUUGAAAUAUACAAGUAACAUAUUCAAAAGCAUUUUUAUAAACAAAAUAAUGAAUAGAUCCUAUAUUGGUAAGUUCAAAUUGAAUAUAUAAACUGAGAAUAAACUUGCCACAAAGUUUGGAAACUUAAACCUGGAAUUGAUUUGAAAAUUUGAAUU